rnacentral:tRNA from 1 species
GGGCUAGUGGCGCAAUGGAUAAAGCGCCUCUGACUACUAGAUCAGAAGAUUCUAGGUUUGACUCCUGGCUAGCUUC